rnacentral:lncRNA from 1 species
UUGUAUUUGUGGCGGGUCUGUACGUCACGUGGGCCAGGUUGAAAAAAAAAAAAAAUGGCACGCUUUCCGCAACUCUGUUUUCAAAAGGCUUUUAAAAUCGGCCCCGGGGCGUGACAGAUUAAGAUGGUAUCAGAGCGUGAAACAACUACAACUGCAUUUACAAGUUUUCUAACUGAACCAUUGGUUAGGUUGACCUAUAGAAAGACCUAAGGUAUAUAGGCACGUACGAGCGCGGGAUGUUCGAGAUUUAGUCUCGUGGUUAUCGAGCUAGGAGGCUCGAAGGUUGAUCUGUGUUUAUUACCCCGUAUUUCUUGUGUUGCAGGUUAUGGCAUGUACUCGUUUUGGUGUUAGGAGUGGGGGCAGUGAGUAGUCUAUCUUUGAGCAAUGAGGUGUCGACAGACUGCUAUUGCUAUUGUUAUCGCCCCACCUCCAACACGGGACAUGGAAGUUUUUGCUGGUCAAUCCGCAGACACAGGGUGUAUUCUGUUGAGUUAUGUCAGGUGGUUUUGUUGGUGGAGUUACCUAGGCAGAUGUUUCGACCUUUGUGGGCUUCUUGUCAGUGUGGUGUGUGUUGAGUCUUGCUUUUGUAUAGUAGUGAUGUCGUAUCUCAGUUCGUGCAUUCUAGUGCAUUAUAGGGUUAUUGGUCGGAUUGGUUCUUGUGUCUUGUUUCCAACUUGUUGUUGGCGAUGGAUCAGUGGGUACCUUACCUUUCUUUUGAUAAUUACGUUGGCUGCAGACAACGUAGUGUUGAAAGUUAGGAUAAGAUACCCUAUCCCUUUUGGGGAAUAUCUGGAUUGGGUCAAUAUUUCUUUUCUCUUGUAUGAGAGGUGUUAGUCUUCUUUGAUCAUCUAGUGAGCCUGGUGUUUUGCUCUGAUGUAGCAGCUUGUAUUGUUGUACGAGGUAUACGUUUUGAUUUUUGGGGAUACCUUGGAAUGGAUUGGGUUGCUGUUCGGUCACUUGUUGGAGUCUCGUUGAGACGGGCAUCUAGUGUUGCUCAGGACGUCGAUCGCUAGGGUCCCUUGGGGACGGCAGCGAUAGGGUCUCGUAGAGACAGAUGUGGAGCAUCACUGGUGGUUUCGAUCGCUUGUUGCGAGUGGCAACUCUGUUCACCUAGUGACGGACAUGCUUUGGUUGUAUGUUUGAGUGUUGAGCAGGCUAAAUUGUUGGCUCAACUGGUACUGACAGCCUUAAACCUUUUUGGUCUAGGCAAAUGGUUAGGUCUUGGACCUAAGAGAGUUGGGUGCCAUCGAUAGGUUCCGAUGGUUAAGUUCUGGCCUUGUCAGGUUGUAGUUCGGUUCUCCGAGGUAAGUGUUGAUUCUCUGGCGUAGGAUCACCCCUGCCUGUGAGCAAGUUUCGAGGACGAAACUUCCUUUAAGGGGGGGAUGAUGUAAGGACUGAGAUUUUUGCAGUGUAGCUAAACUCUCAGUUGACGAUGUUUUUGUGUGUAAUUUAAUUACAAAAGCACUCGUCAAGUUUCGGGCGAAAACUGAGUAAAACGAAAAUCUCUACGCGAUUUCAAGUUUCACUUAAAGUGAAUAGUAACUCGAUUUUCGGAGAAGCCGCGGUGAGAAGUUGGCUUCUGGCUCGUACGGACUUUGUUCAUAGCAGUCCAAUAGCUCGUUUCGACCGGUGGUAGCUAUUCUGGAACUAAUUGACGCUGACGGAUUUUGGUUUGACGCACGAAUUUUGAGAAAAUCCAAAAAUACAUGUUUUAUAUGUAUUUAUGUGUGUGUUUCCUUCUAUUUUGGAAGGAGGAAGUUGUUGGAUUUUGUCGUGAAUCCGUGGUCGAUCAAGACGAACGAAAUUGCAGCUUUGUUGUCUCUGUCGUUGCUGAUUGCACUGGUGUGAUUCGUUCGCGAAUCUGUGACGGACGGAUCUGCGGAGAUCGCCGCGUUGAUCGAGAGAGGUCGGUAGUGGAAAAACGUUAUUUUGCAAAAGUCGCGAUUAUUUUAUGUAUCGUUUCGAGUGAGAUCGGCAUGUGGAGGGGCGUUCAUGGUUUUAGUCGUACCGUGAGGGAGCUCGGAUUGUAAUUCUGAUGUUUUGGGGGACCUUUUUGCUUGUUGCCAGCUUACUUUAUAGGCUUUUUAGGUUUUUACCUAGCUAACGUAACCCUAGCCUUGCCCUAGCUCCCUAGCCGCGCUCCCCCAGUUCCCGCUGCCCUCCCCCUGCGUGCGCGCCCGGCCACCUGUACUCGCCGCCGCCACUGGAGCUGGCAAUGCUCCAUCCUUUCUCCAUCUCUUUUCUCUCCUCUUUCCUCUCGGUUGUUGUGCGAGGCCCGGGGCUGCACCUCCUGAGACCUCCACCGCGGAUCGCACCGGUGCUCCUGCAUCGACUCCCCGCGCCGCCGCCAUCGCCGGGUGCCGCCGCUGCUGCUCCUGCGGACUGCUGCAACCCAGCCGAGCCUGGCCGAGCGGGUUGCCACAGCCGCCAGCGCGCCGCCGCCUCUCGAGGCUUCCUCCUUCCUCCUCUCCGGCCUCUGGGGACCCGCAUGUCGUCGUCCCCGACCUUCCCAGUCGCCACCGUGGCCGCAGCCUUCUUGGAGUCCGCCUUGCUCUUGCGGGCCGAGCUUGCUCCGCCGCUGCCAUGCCGCUUCUCUGCGUCGCCAACCGAGGUGAGCACGGAGUUCCUCACCUCCCCUCACCCGACUCAGGGCCCCGCGCGCGCGCCGUGCCGCCGGAGACCGGCGCGAGCAAGUUGCUCCGGCCAAGCCCGAAAAUAGGGCUUAUUGAGAUGGGUUUCUUGUUCUGGGCUUCCCGAGCUUCCCGAUCUCUACGGAAGGGAGCACGAUGAUCUCUGGCAAGUUUCUGAUCAUCGUGCUCACCUUGGUUUCUGUCGGAAGGGCCCGUUCCGUGUGUUUUGGCGAUGUCGCUCCGUUUCAGCCUCUUUUUGGCUGCUGUUUCGGGUUUGUACUUAUUUUUUCGGCGAUCGAGGCUGUUCCGAUGCCUCCGGAGGUGAGCACCGCUGACCGCUGGUCAGUGCUGAUCACAAUGCUCACCUUCCCUUGGGAUCCAGAAGUGUCCGGUUAGUUCUGUUCGGCGCGAUUUCUCCUGACUGCGCGCUAUUCGCUGAACCUUCGGGUUGCUCCCGCGUUCCCACACCAGCCGCUUGUGCUCCGGAUCGUGAGCACGGACUCCGGUACGUCGAGACUGUCAGUACGUGUCUCUGCGGGACUUCGAAAGUCCUCGGUUUGCGUGAACGGCCGCUUGAUCGCUCAAAUUACAUAAAAUGAUGAGAUUUUAGUGUAAUUAGAGGGUCUUUUCAUGCAUUUGUGUAUUGUGUGGCUACGUGGGCAGCGUGUGUGAGUGUGUUUGACGCUGGACUGAUUGUCCAUGGUCCGUUAGCUUUCGGCGGAAAUCGGUAGGUCGAUUUUCGUGCGUUUUCGGCGAAAUUCGCGAAAGAAGCGCAGUUUCGGUUCGGAUUCUUUUCGACGGGUGUUUGGUGCUUCGUGUUUUGUCGCUGAGCCUUGUUGGCUGGUCACCAUCAUCAUUUUGUGGUUCGAUGAUGAUAGGUGAGCGACAGAGCGUUUCGGUGUCGAAAUAGGACACUUCCGGGAAUCGGAUUCGUACGAUUAUCCGGCGAUGAUCGUAUUGUUGUGUUCUCGUGUUCGCUGCCAGGCAAUCCAAAUUGGAGUGCUUUGGGGUUAGCGAGUGACUCGUGGCACGAGUCGGUGAGUUCGGUGACAUUUAGUGGUCCGACGGCCGUCCCGGUGUGGUUUUCGGGACUUCCGGUGAGUUACGGUAAUCGGUUUGGGAAAACCGAUUACGGGGAUCCUGCCGUGUGGGGGUUGUGAGUCUCGUGCUUUGGGUUAGUGGUUUGGAUUCUGGACUUGGUGGAUCUUCUUAGGUCCGGUCGACUUGUGCGGUACCCAGUGUUCCGACGCGGACAGUGACAGGUGGGUGCUUCGAGCUGGCAGUCGGUUAGAGCGUUUUCACCUUCCUUUCCUAUUUUUCUAUUCUGUAUUUAGUCUCUACAUGUCAUUGCUUGUUAUCGUUUGGGUUAUCGCACCCUUGAUUGCAUUGUGUUAGUUGUGGAUAGACAUGUAGAGCAGGGCGGCAUUCGUAUUUCAGUAUCUCUGGUGGACCUUGGGUCCAGGAACACAUCGACUCUUUGUCGUGUGUUCGAUCUGGUUGAUCGAUGGUUCGGCGUUGUACGCCCUAGCAUCUAUUUCAGUUCGGCGUUGUACGCCCUAGCUUCUAUUUUGUUUGGAUGUUACGCCCUCGUUGUUGGCUUCGGCCUAGGCACCGCUUUAGCCGGGUUUGUUUUGUUUGAGCAUACCAGCAUGACUUAGUCACGACACUGUGGGUAUUCAUGACACCGGAUCGGUUUGGCCACCGAUCAGAUGGUGUACUUAUCCGGAUGGGUCAUCCUGUUGGCGGGAUGGAUCAGGUCGGUGCAGUUAGUGACAGGCCAGCGCUUGAGGUUCUGCGGACGCAAUAUAGCAGGCACAGCAUUAGGGUACAGGUUUCUGGUUCAGUACAUUGAGGCAUUCUUUGCAUUGUUUUCUAUACAGUAGCAGCGUUCAUUUAUUGCUUCCUAUUUAUCUGUUGUAGUACUGUAUGUUCUAUUUCAUAUCAGCUUACAUAUAUAUACUUGUUUAUCUAUCUCCUUUGGUUUCCGGUGAUUACGGCUUGCUUCGUGGCUCUGUCUACACUGAGAAAACCAUGGUUGCGGUUUCUCACCCCCAUUUUCCCCCCAGGUGACAUAGACGAGGAGUUGGAUUUUGGGCUGACAGAGGACGAUCUAGCUAGUUCUGGUAUAGCGAUCGCCACCCUGUUGUAUUUUCUUCCCGCCUUUAGUAGUCAUUUAAAUAAAUGGUUCAGUUAGAUGUUUGAAUGUUGUGAUUUUCGUUAUGCAUGAUUAAAUGAUCUUAUGAUUUUUUGAAUGAGUUGUUUUCCUCGUAUGAUGAGAUUAUGGAUGUAAUAUAUACAUGAGAUUGGAGUUUUCAGAUAUGUGGUUUUGGAUCCUUGGUUUCAGAUUGGAUUUAUACGCUUUGUGGAUUUCUACCCCUCGAGGUAGCUGGUUUUGAAAAUAGAGUUUCCGUGUGGGAAACAGUUUUAAAAGGUUUCGAAUGAUUUUUAUGAAUAAUGAAUUAGAGUUUAAAAACAAAAGCUUCUGUGUCGGGAGCACUUUUAAAUAGGAUGAUUGUUGUAUUGUGCAUUGCAUCAUCCAGCGCCUAAGGAGUGCUUAGAGGCAUGCAUCAUUCUAAGGAUUGUUAGCUGUAUGGAAAUGCAUAUCAUGCUUUGGUUGUUGUUUGGUAAAUGUAGGUUGUGGUUGAGAUCCUGUUGUAUCUGUUGGUACGCCGUGCAAAUUAAAGGAGACUCUGCCCGAGUGGACAGAGGAACUUUGUAUUUUUGGCGGGUUGUACGUCACGUGGGGCCAGGUUGAAAAAAAAAAAAAAAAUGGCACGCUUUUCCGCAACUCUAUUUUCAAAAGGCUUUUUUAAAAUCGGCCCCGGGGGCGUGACAAUCCUGCUUUGGAUUUCUUGUGGAAGAUAAUAGCAUUUAGUAAAAUGGUAUCUAGCACUUGAAUAUAAUAAGUUAUUACCUCGCAGUAAUCUUCUUUAUCUGAGGUCUUGUUUUAGCUCAUAUUACAUGCUUAUAUAUUUUAGAUUGUGUAAUACAACCAUCUUAUUCUUUUUGACAUGUCUUCCACCUGUUAGUUCUCACAAUAUUUUAGUUUUUGGUGGAAUCUCGAUGAUAUUUUAAUAUAUGUUCACUACACUGAACACCAUAUAAAACAAAGAGGACACUUUAUUAAAAGGACGCAAACAAAAUCAACUCCUAUUACGAAAGAAAAAGAUGAAACACAAAAAACAUAAAACUUAGCUACUCACAACGCAAACAGAGGAAAAUCCUAAAAAAAAAAGAGAAAAAAGAUGACAGAAUAAGGAAGGAUGACACCAUUUGGAAAGGAGAAAGAAGGAAGGAAAAAGAUAAAGUUUAGUUUUUUGCAGUUAAAAGGUGUCUUCGGUGUUCCAUCCGGGUCCUCAUCGGUUAUCAUAGUAUGCUCCGGACCACAUACGGUAGGCGAAUGAUCUGGAGAAGGCGGCAUCACAUGUUCAUCAGGGUUUGCCGCCAACUCGCCAUCCAUUGGAACAACGUUGGGCUCGUGAAUUAUUUCAAAACAUUUAUCAAUGUUUUCCUUCAUUUCUUCCAAGUCGGGGACAAUUCGAUCCCUUUCUACGACCAAAGAAUUAUAGAACCUUCUGAGAAGGUCGUAGUCUAACUUAAGCAUUUCAUAUUCAUCGCGAAGCUCUUCAUGAUCGUGACAAAGCUGAUCGUAUAAACCUGUUAAAGAUUUUCUUUCCUCGUAAUUUGUGUCCUUAACUUCAAAGCGUAGCUCGUUGCGAAGCCUCCCAAUAGCAAUCCUUGCAGCAUCCUUUUUGGUACGAUUAGCAUUCGACGACGGUGCACCCCAACUUGUAAUGACUUCUAUGAUUCGGCUACUUCUUGGAAUUUCCACAUCGACGUAAGAACAAAAUCGCAAGUCCACAUCUAAUGUCAUUCCAUAACUUGGAGGAUUAAGUGAAAAUUUAGCGCAGAUCUUGCGGAGUAGAUGGCGAAAAUUAAUAUCAAUGCUAACAGGUGCGGCCAUUGCUGCAGUCAAAUGAAAGAUAAAGGGAAGUAUAGUUCAUCACUCUGAAAAAAGAGGAGUGAAAGAAAAUUCUAAGAAUUGAGGUAAGAAUUUGAAGCUGAUUAAUAUAAAUCUACAUUCAUGAAUUUUCACCGGCCCUAUCAUUCCACUAAUUAUUUGUCAUGUGAAUGCUGAGCGGAAAACUACAUAUCAAUGAAAUAAUUUAAGAACUCAUUGAUUAUUCGCCUAUAAUUAAUGAAUAAUUUGUUAACAUUUCCACAUUUUUCCACUGAUUAAAAAAAGAAAAUCAAUACUCGCAUAUAUAUAAAUAUUAAAUAUUUAACCUGAAAAUUCAUGAAAAAGGAACAAUUCAUGAAAAAAAAAAGAACUAUUAACCUGAAACCCCUAGGAAGAAGAAAACGUCCAGAUCGUGGGAAUGUGAGCGUCGAUUCCUGAGAAUAAGACAAUAACAUUCUUAUAUAAGAAAAAAAAAAACCUAAAUUUCUUAUAUUUAAUUUAAAUGAAAUUAUAAAAGAAAACCUAAUUUUCUUACCUAUCACAUGAUGGUUUUGAUCUGAGGGAUGGAUGAAAUACAUAGGCAAGAAUGUAGCAGCAAUGAGGGUAGAGGAAGCGGCAGCCAGUACAUUUGAUUAAAGAAAUAAUGAUACACGAUCUCAUUUGAAACGGUGGUAGUUUGAUGAAUGAUGAAUGAUGAAUUAUGAGACACGAUCUUCUCUGAAACGGAAAUAGAUACGGAUGUUGCGGUGGAGGAGAGGAAACGGCUUACCACACGAAAUCAAGAGGGAGAGCGAAGAAGCAAGAACGCUCAAGCAAGAAUGCUCAGAGGGGGGAGCGUUUCAGCAAGGGCAGGGGGAGAGGAGAGUAAACGCUUUGCAUACAGAGAGUUUUGGUUUGGUUUUAUUUACAGGUUUAGAUAGGGUUCGGUUCGGUUCGGUUCGGUUCGGUUCAGAGGUUCAGAGAGAGGGAGUUCUAUGGUUCGGUUCAGAUCACAAUUUAUAUAGAAAAUCGGUUCAAUUAUAAAAAGGGUUCGGUUCUGUUCGGUUCGGUUCCGAAACUAUAUCGGUUAGAUUAUAAAAAGGGUUCGGUUCUGUUCAGUUCGGUUCCGAAACUAUAUCGGUUUGAUUAUAAAAGGGUUCGGUUCUGUUCGGUUCGGUUCCGAAACUAUAAGAAAUAUUGGUUCAAGUUCGGUUCAAGUUAGAAUUGGUUUGGCUCAUGGUUUGGCUCAAACACAAUGAAUCCACAAUCUAAGAAUAAAGGGUUCGAUUAUAAAAAGGGUUCGGUUCUGUUCGGUUCGGUUCCGAAACUAUAAGAAACAUUGGUUCAAGUUCGGUUCAAGUUAGAAUUGCUUUGGCUCAUGGUUUGGCUCAAACACAAUGAAUCCACAAUCUAAGAAUGAAGGAUUUCUUGCCACAUGGCAAGAAACAUUGGUUCAAGUUCGGUUCAAGUUAGAAUUGCUUUGGCUCAUGGUUUGGCUCAAACACAAUGAAUCCACAAUCUAAGAAUGAAGGAUUUCUUGCCACGUGGCAAGAAACAUUGUGAAUUCAUUAGUUUUUAUAGAUCUUACAUGAUUUUCUCCAAUAAAUUUAAAUAUUAAUUCUAAUCCAACUAAGAUUUAACUACAAAGCUAACCAAAUCCUAGCAAUCUCCACUUUGGUUUGAUUUGUAGUUUUCAAACGUUGUGUCGAGCUCACCAUGCAACUCAUCCUCAAGCUUGUCUCCUCCGCUCAAUGUCGCCACAUUCGCUGCUCCAUCUAGAGCGACUACAUAUCCACGAACUUUUGGAACCCAAACAGUUUGCGCUCUCGUUCUCACCGUGCUGCCCUCUAGAAUAUGUUCUUGCGCUUGUUCGCCUCGCACACGACCUGAUUUUGUUUUCAGAUCCUUAUGGCUCAACCUGAAGCUGAAAAAUCACAACCCUUUAUGUCCAAUGCAUCUAAUGAGAUCAAAUUUCGCUUCAAACCAAAAAUAUGCCUCACGCCAAUCAGCGUUCUCAUAACCCAUCGUGCAUCUGUAUCUUCACCAUAUUCCAAAACAUUGCACCUCAUUCUGUUCCCUAUAUGAGCUUUUCCACCUCUAAUCUCCUUAUAGGUAGCAAACGACUCUUUCUCUAGGCAGAUAUGAAAAGAACACGGCGAAUCGAGAACCCACGCAUCAUCCAAAAUUUUACCACCACUAGUCACUGCAUGCACAUGAAAAUCAAUCACCUCUGAUUUUGCUACCUGUGCAAAUGCUGAUGUCUCCUCAUCUUGGUCCAUGACAAUUUUUUCCUUUCGCCACUUCAUCCCCUUUAGAUCAUUCUGAAGUUUCCGAUAGUUGCUCUUAUGAUAGUAGAAGCACUCCAUCUUGGAUAGCGGCCUCUUUUUUCUAUCUCAUGUUGCCGAUACUUUCGCCUCCUUCUUCGGUUUUACCAUUAGAGCCGUAUCAUAGCUCUGCAUGCCGAACUCCUGAGUUAUCUUCCGUAUCUCAUUUGAGAGAAGCGUCAUAGUGAUUGCCACCAUGCUAUGGUCUUUCUGCCAUAAAGCAACAUGAUCACUAGAUGCUCAUAUAUUGUCUAUAGUAAAGUAAUAAAAUCAGCGCCUUGUCCUCAUCAUCCAAAUUGACUCCGAUACUGGUCAAUUGAGCCACCAACUUGUUGAACUCAUUUAAGUGCUCGUGGAGGCUCGCUGUUUCUUGCAUCAGCGGUGUAAACAGUUGCUACUUUAGAUACAGCCUUCGUCAGGGACUUGGGUCAUGUACGAACCUUCCAACUUCUUCCACAACUUCACUGAUGUCGACUCGUUGGCUACCUUAUAAAAAAGCUUAUUUGCUAACAAUGGAUAAAGCUUACUCAACUCCUUUUGCUCUAUUUUUUAACAUGUCGCAUCCUUGACCUUUGUUUGCUUUGCCUCUGUUGGGAACCAGAUGGAUCGUCCGUCAUGCGCUACCAACAAAGAUGCAUGAAAAAUAGAGAAAACAUCGAACGAACGGUAAAAGAAAUAAAUGUAGAAAGAAGAAACCAAGAUUUACGUGGUUCGAUGUUUUCUCUAUUUUUCGUGCAUCUUUGUUGGUAGCACAUGACGGACGAUCCAUCCGGUUCCCAACAAAUGGUAUCAGAGCUUAAGGUUCGCACUACAUCAGAGAUAUCGAAAGUCUCAUCUUCUAAGUUUGAGGUGGAGAAAUUUGACAGUAAAGGAAACUUCGGUCUCUGGCAGAGAAGAGUGAAAGCCCUUCUGGUUCGACAGGGCCUUCAUAAGGCGUUGCUCGAAAAAUCGAAAAAGCCGACAUCGAUGAGCGACGAAGAUUGGGAGGAUAUUGAUCUGCGAGCGGUGAAUACGAUUAUAUUAUGCCUAGCAGAUGAGGUGAUGUAUAACGUGAUGGAUGAAGAAACUAUAGUCGGCAUGUGGAACAAGCUAGAGAAGCUGUACAUGACAAAAAGUCUCUCGAACGUGCUGUACCUAAAGCAAAAAUUAUAUGGGCUACGCAUGAAGGAAGGUACGGCAAUAACGGAACACUUGAACACCUUUAAUAAAAUUAUUGCAGGUUUGCUCAGCAUUAAUGUCAAGGUUGACGAGGACGAUAAGGCGUUGAUUUUUCUUACAUCACUUCCGUCGUCCUACAAUCACUUGGUGACCACCAUACUGUACGGGAAGCAAACUCUAAAGAUGGAAGAUGUUACAUCGACACUUUUAUCUGAAGAGAUCAGGUUGCAGGCGAGUACCGAAGAAAGCAGUGCAGGUUUGGUCGUAAAUGAUACAAGUGGAGGAAGGGGACGAUCUAGCGAACGUGAUGCAGGUAAAGGAAGAUCCCGUUCGAAGUCAAAAUCGGAAAAGGUGAAGUGUUACUUCUGUAAGAAAGAGGAGCACGUGAAAAGAAACUGUGAGAAGAGGAAGGUUUUGCUGCGAAAAUUAGAUUCCUCUGCAGAUACGGCGAGCGUAGCUAGCGACACUAGUCAGGAUGUUUUGACGGUUUCUACAGGUUCAGAAUCUCUCAAUGACUGGAUAUUAGAUUCGGGUUGUUCUUGUCACAUGACUUCGGACAGAUCUUUAUUUGAUACUUAUAAAUCUUGUGAAAGCGGUAGUGUUAUCAUGGGCAAUCGCACUAGCUGCAAGAUGGUCGGUAUCGGAACAGUAAAAAUAAAGAUGUUUGAUGGUGUGGUGAGAACGUUGACGAAUGUGAGACACAUUCCGGGUCUUAGAUUAAAUUUGAUAUCGCUUCGUACUCUUGACUCUAUUGGUUGUUCUAUUAGCAUUUCAGGUGGAGCCGUCAAGGUUGAAAAGAGUGCUACGGUAGUCAUGAAGGGAGAGAAGGAGGGGAAUCUGAACAAGCUAAUCGGUAAGUCGAUAAUAGCGGAGAAGUCUAGGCAUUCUCUAGAUUUUGCUAACCUGCAUGACUAUUAGUGUUAGGAUGCCUCAGGGAGAAGGGGCGAUAAGAUGAGAGAGAGAGUAAUGAAGUAAAAAAAAAGUCAAGGUGGAGAAUGUUAAAGAUAUGCCUUCUUUUUUAUUGGUUUGGUUCAUACACCGGAUUUAUGGAAAAAUAGAAAGGAUCCCAUGAGGAUUUAUUUUGGUGGAUCCUAAUUUAAAUUGGAAUCUUAGGUGGACUAGGAUUGGUUUUCAUAUAAGACUCUAUAUUCAAUUAUCAUAUCGAAUUAGAGUAGGAUUGAGCUAAUGCAUAUAUCUAUAUAUAUGCAUGUAUGACCGUUCGGUGUAUGGUGUGGAGUAGAGGACAAUAUUAAUUAGAGAAGCUAAUUAUGAAGGUGGCUGGUUCUAUUCAUAAGGCGUGUACGGCUUGGGUUGAGAGGCGUGUGGUGUAGAGGUCAAAUUAAUUAGCACCCCGGCGUCAUGAACCGUACGGUUCUUGGGGGUGCAUGAGGCUUAAUUAAUUAGCAUGCAGUGAAGCUAAUUAAUUAAGAUGGCCGGUUCUCUUCAUGUAUAGCCGUACGGUAGCAAGAGAAAGAGAUGCGCGGUAGCACGCAUGCGACAGAUUGAAGUCAGCGGCGGAGCGGCGGUUCUCGACCAAUUGCCUGAGCAGUUUGGAUUCUUCGAAGCAACGACAUAAAGGAAUUUGGUUAUAGUUUCUAUACUCCUCUAAUUUGGUCUUCUCAGUUUUACGAAAAACUUUUUCGGUAUUUUCUUGGAGUUUUUGUUGGAACACGAGAAAGGUGGGAUUCACCAUAAGGCUCUUUGGUUUUUUAUCCGAAGAAGACAUAAGGUGGAAGCUUGUACUUCUAUUUCUUCAUAUAGUGGAAUACAUCUCUCUCGCUCUCCCCGUGGACGUAGGCGAUUGCCAAACCACGUAAAUCUUGAUUUCUUUUUUCUGCAUUUAUUUCUUUUACCGUUCGUUCGGUAUUUUCUCUAUUUUUCGUGCAUCUUUGUUGGUAGCGCAUAACGGACGAUCCAUCCGGUUCCCAACAGCCUCUUUCCUGUUCAAUGUCUAAUCCAAAUCCUGUUGUACCAGAAUUGCUUGAACUUUAAUUUGCCAUAUCCUAAAAUUGUUCUUACUGUUGAACUUCUCGAUGUCGAACUUCAUAGCCAUCUCCGUCGAUCUUUCUUGAGAAUAGGUAAUCCUUAAGGCAUUGUUUGGAUUUGGAAUAAGCUGAGGGAUAAGAGCUUAUCCCCCAGCUUAUACCCAAACAAGUUUCAAAGUGGUGGGAACAACAGUUCCCACCACCAUCGGGAUAAGGGAAAGGGGUGGGGAACAACUGUUCCCACCCCCCCUUUGUCUCAUGUGUCCUGUGUGAGAUCAACUUUCCCAAAUUACCCUCCUCAUCUCCUUCUCCCCAUUUUCGAAUCAAGGAAAGCUCUCUCUCUCUCUCUCUCUCUCUCUCUCUCGGUCAUAGAGCUCCUGCGGGUACCGGUUCCUCUCCCUCCACCUCACCGAGCACCACCCUUUAUCUCCGGCCGACGGAUCCAAGAAACUUGUGGGUUUGUGAAACGGCUCUCCUUCCCUUCGUCUCCGGCCGAAGCUUGUGGGUUUCCUCCGACGCUUACUGCGAGAUCGCUGGAAGGAUCUUGAACUCCGGUGGGUUUCCCCUGGCAUUGUGUGCAGUCGUGCAUCCGCUAGAGGUGGAUCGACCUAUUUCCUCUCCGAUUUCUUUCUCCCCUGCACUGGGUUCCUCUCCCUCUACCUCACCGAGCACCACCCUUCAUCUCCGGCCAACGAAUCCAAGAAGCUUGUGGGUUUUCUAAAACGGCUCUCCCCCCCUUCAUCUCCGGCCGAAGCUUGUGGGUUUGCGAAACGUUGGCUGCGAGAUCGCUUUACGGAUCUUGAACUCCGGUGGGUUUCCCCUGGCGUUGUGUGCAGUCGUGCACCCACUAGAGGUGGAUCGACUCGUUUCCUCUCCGAUCUCUUUCUCCCCUGCAUUGGGUUCCUCUCCCUCCACCUCACCGAGCACCACUCUCCGGCCGACGGAUCCAAGAAGCUUGUAGGUUUGCGAAACGGCUCUCCCCCCCUUCAUCUUCGGCCGAAGCUUGUGCUGGUGAGUUUUCCGCGAGCUUGCUUGUUAGAUCUGAAUCCUGGUGAGUUUUCCGCGACCUUGCUUGUUGCAGUGCACCCACUUGACGUGGAUCUUGCCUAUUGCGACUCCGCUUUCGUGCCGGUAGUGCAGAUCUCGGUGCUCACAUCUCGGCAUUCUAUUGAUAUGCCAUUUUGGGUUCUUCUUCAUCAGAGAACCCUGCUUUUUGCUAUUAGUUUGGAUUCUGGGUAUCCCUGAUUGCAAUAGUUCAUUGCAAAUACGACGACGAGACUAGGCAACGGGCGUCGUCCGACAGUACAUGAAUAUGCCGCUGAUUACGUGCACAAUAUAUUUUCGUCUUGGUUCUUGUUUUUGUCUUCUUUGCAGUGAAUAAGUAGUGGCCAAAUCGGUUGUGCGCGGCCUCGCCCGACGCUUUCUAUUUCCAACAUUAGCAUCCCCUGCUCCUGGUCCCCCACUGGUUCUAGAAGGUCAAAAUUAUAUUUGCUGUCGACAUUAUUAUAUGUUUGGAUGUGACCAUGAUUGUGGGUAAAAAUCUUGCAAAAUAUGAUGGCUGCGAUCGGUUUGCAUGUUAAGUUGAUCGAAUUGGCAAUGAUGCCGGUUUCCAUUACCAUUUGUUGGCAUGGCAUGGAAGUCAUAUUCUGUGCAGCCCCAUGGUAAUCGGGGACUCUCUGAGCCACAACGCGUCACAGCGUUGCUCCCUUGGUUUAUCCAGCAGAGAAAUCAAUUGUGCUACAGUUUAUUCAGAGAGGGCUUUCUUAUACUCAUUACAUAUUUCUCUUUUGUCUUGUAAAUUGGAUUAUGCAUGAUGAUCUGCUGAGAUAUUUACAUAUUAUGCUAUACUGGUAGAAUAUUUAUAUUUUGUUUUCCUAAACGAUGUUGUAUUGAGGGGGAUAAAAUAGUAUGUCGUCCACAUACAGAUGCGACCGAACCAUAUUCUUUCUAAGUCAAAUAAAAACAAAUCGAGGGGUAUGGAUAAUGCGAUCCCAGGUUGUGAUGU